AUUGAACGCUGGCGGCAGGCUUAACACAUGCAAGUCGAGCGGGGGAAGGUAGCUUGCUACCGGACCUAGCGGCGGACGGGUGAGUAAUGCUUAGGAAUCUGCCUAUUAGUGGGGGACAACAUCUCGAAAGGGAUGCUAAUACCGCAUACGUCCUACGGGAGAAAGCAGGGGAUCUUCGGACCUUGCGCUAAUAGAUGAGCCUAAGUCGGAUUAGCUAGUUGGUGGGGUAAAGGCCUACCAAGGCGACGAUCUGUAGCGGGUCUGAGAGGAUGAUCCGCCACACUGGGACUGAGAAGCGGCCCAGACUCCUACGGGAGGCAGCAGUGGAGAAUAGUGGACAAUGGGGGGAACCCUGAUCCAGCCAUGCCGCGUGUGUGAAGAAGGCCUUAUGGUUGUAAAGCACUUUGAGCGAGGAGGAGGCUACUUUAGUUAAUACCUAGAGAUAGUGGACGUUACUCGCAGAAUAAGCACCGGCUAACUCUGUGCCAGCCGCCGCCGUAA
rnacentral:rRNA from 1 species